AUACAUGCCACAAAGCCAUUUCCUCUGGGAAUGGUGCAUUUAUUAGAAUAAAACCGAUCGGGUUAGCCCGUUGUGUGUUGAAUCUGAAUAACUUAGCUGAUCGCAUGGUCUAGUACUGGCGACAUAUCCUUCAAGUGUCUGCCUUAUCAACUUUCGAUGGUAGUUUAGUCGAUUACCAUGGUUGUAACGGGUAACGGAGAAUAAGGGUUCGUUUCCGGAGAGGGAGCCUGAGAAAUGGCGACCACAUCCAAGGAAGGCAGCAGGCGCGCAAAUUAUCCACUCUCAGCACGAGGAGGUAGUGACGAAAAAUAACAAGGUGAUUCUCUAUGAGGUUCAUCAUUGGAAUGGGUACAAUUUAAACCCUUUAACGAGGAUCUAUUGGAGGGCAAGUCUGGUGCCAGCAGCCGCGGUAAUUCCAGCUCCAAUAGCGUAUAUUAAAGUUGUUGCGGUUAAAAAGCUCGUAGUUGGAUCUCCGAUCUAUCCGUUCGGUCCCCUAAUCGGUGUCACUGGAUUGGCAGACCUACCUCGUCGGUUUUCCCUUGGUCCUCUUAACUGAGUGCCCUGGGUGGCGGGCAAGUUUACUUUGAAAAAAUUAGAGUGCUUAAAGCAGGCGCGUAGCCAGUAUAGUGGUGCAUGGAAUAAUGGAAUAGGACCUUGGUUCUAUUUUGUUGGUUUUCGGAGCUCGAGGUAAUGAUUAAGAGGGACAGACGGGGGCAUUUGUAUUGAUACGCUAGAGGUGAAAUUCUUGGAUCGUAUCAAGACAGACAACUGCGAAGGCAUUGCCAAG
rnacentral:rRNA from 1 species